rnacentral:lncRNA from 1 species
AUAUAUUACGAUUUCCAGAUAACACAAUUAUAGCAUAAACAAUAGACAAUUAUCAUGAACAAGGAAAUAUAAUAAUAACCAUUUUAUCAUUGCCUCUAGAGCAUAUUUCCAACAUGAUCUUACCUGCUCAUGUCAAAAGGAAAGCGACAACCAUCAUAGGCAAAGAUGCAGGAUUUGGACUUUAACUCAAGUUAACUGCGCUAUAUAAGUCUACUUGGCAAAAUAUUUGUUUUUCUUGACCAUAUAAAAAGCUCAUUUCCCAUACAAAAUCGUGAACUAAAACAAGAUAUUUCAGUUCAAACUUCUAAUUAAGAUUGACCACCAAUGGCAGGCUACUGACAUGAAAAAGAUUGAGGACUUCAAUCCACAAUUAGAAGACAACGUGUGAGUAAGCAGGUAUCAUCCUUGACAACAAGCAAACAUCACAUGUAAGAUCCGAUGUAACUCUUGGAUUACCUAUAAAACAAAACAAUUUGUAACAUCUGAUCAUGUCAUGUGUUCUCUCUCAGGAAAAGGAAGACUAAUUAUCCACUGAGUUUCAAUACCGAAAGAAAAUAUGAUGUUCCAAAAAAGGAAGAUUCAUUUAUUUCCAAAGAAAGUUCAGAACCCGAGUUUCAUAGUGCAAUCAUAAGACAUAUUCAAAUUGAACUCAGCAACCGACAUGAAAAAUCAAUAGCAUUUUAAAUCUUAGACUCUUAAUACAUACCCAAUUAAGGUGUGGAAAAAAAUCGUUAUUAUAUUGAUUUGUCCAAACAAAUGAGGAAAACAUUCAAGAGCCCUGCAUGUAAAGAGGAAAAACCGUUAUUAUAUUGAUUAAACAAGAAAAGUAGGCCAUUUCUGGGAUAUAUAUAUAUAUAUAUAGAGAGAGAGAGAGAGAG